UACGAAGGGGGCUAGCGUUGUUCGGAUUUACUGGGCGUAAAGCGCGUGUAGGCGGGCUGGUAAGUUGGGGGUGAAAUCCCGAGGCUCAACCUCGGAACUGCCUCCAAAACUGUCAGCCUGGAGCAAGAUAGAGGCGAGUGGAAUUGCGAGUGUAGAGGUGAAAUUCGUAGAUAUGCGCAGGAACACCAGUGGCGAAGGCGACUCGCUGGAUCUUUGCUGACGCUGAGACGCGAAAGCGUGGGGAGCAAACAGG
rnacentral:rRNA from 1 species